AGAAGAAAAUGACCAAUUAGACGAUUCAUACGGUUUAUUUGAGCCUGUUGAUCAAGAACCACAGUUUGAAGUACACCAUGGUGAAACUGCAGACGAUGAGCUUGACGAGGAAGCAAGAAUAUUCAGUGGACAACGUGUUGAAUACGAAACGUACCAUGGAGAACGACAUACUACUGAAGGAGUGCCAAUAAAUAAUAAUAUUGCUGAUGCCAUCUACCAAAACUUACCAAAAAAACACCAUGUCCUCAAAAAGGCAAAAGACUGCGACCACUGUGGAGCAAUACGGUUUGAGUUCGAGGGGCCUGCAUUUUGCUGUAGAAAAGGAAGAGUCGGUGUGUUCAUUCCGGCUGUUCCAGAGG